AUUCGAAAAUAUAAAUUGGACGAUCCAACUCAAUCGAACAUGUUACAAUGCGUUUUAAAAACUAAAUUGUAUUAAAAUAGGAAGAAGAGUGAAGCAAGGAACUUUCCAUGCAUAGAAAUAACGAUAUUAAUGGAUAUUUACGGCAAAACGUGAAUCGAAAGUUGGCUGAAAUUGAAUAAGUCGGCCGACGCAACAAGCAAAUAAAGCAAUGUGGUCUGUGAGCAGUUCACUCGAGAAUAUAUUUGAGGUCGUAAAUAAUUUCUCAACCACAGACUUCAAGUAGAAAACGUUAAGGUAGGAGGUUACUGCGAACUUUGUUUUGUAUUUUUUGUUACAAAGAGCGCUCAACAAAAGUGUGUGUAGGAAUGGCAGUG